rnacentral:rRNA from 1 species
UACGGAGGGUGCGAGCGUUAAUCGGAAUAACUGGGCGUAACGGGCACGCAGGCGGGCUUUUAAGUGAGAUGUGAGAUCCCCGGGCUUAACCUGGGAAUAGCAUUUCAGACUGGGAGUCUAGAGUACUUUAGGGAGGGGUAGAAUUCCACGCGUAGCGGUGAAAUGCGUAGAGAUGUGGAGGAAUACCGAAGGCGAAGGCAGCCCCUUGGGAAUGUACUGACGCCCAUGUGCGAAAGCGUGGGGAGCAACCAGG